AUGCGAAUCAAUGAAUACGAAAUAACUGCAACCGCCAGGCAGCUCCGGGAAGGGCUGGAGCGUGCGGGGGUGCGGGGAGUCCCUCCCUGGGCGCCGCAACGGCACCUCCUCCCUUUCCCGGCUCCGUCCCGCCCUCCUUCCUCGGCCUCUGCGGACGCGGCCCACGCAGACCACAGCCGAGCUCGCCAGACCCCGGGACUACGGAGGCCAUCCCGUCCGGUCACGCACACCCGCGCCGCGGCUGGGGCUCGGGUUGAGGACUGUGGCGGGAAGAAGCCGUGUUCUGAUGAAGUUCCACUCCUCUUUGUACCUUGCAUCUGUGACACUAAGUAAAGUUGAAGCAUCAGAAUUGCCUAGCGGAUAUUGCAAGAAGGGAUGGAAAAGCUAAAAUGCUGGGGCAGACACUGUGUGAAUACGGAAGAGCUGCAGAUGGUUAUGAUCCACCAGAAAGCCUGCAGGAUAACUAUAUUACAUGGAAUGAACUGCUGGCAAGAGCACCAGCAUCUCUGAAUGUUUGGUUGUGGCUCUCUUCUUCACACCAAGGCAGAUGGUAAGAAAUGUCUUUACAGAAUUAGGCAAACUGAUAGUAGUGGGAACAAGGGGAUGCUAAAAUAAUAGAGGCCAGGUGAUUAGAACGUCACAAUGACCAUAAUGGGUUGGGAGGGCAGUAGCCAAAAAAUCUGAUCCACUGAAAGUUGUGGAGAUAAUAGAGUACAGCAACCCUGAAAACAGCAUGGGUAGAAAGCCAGCCAGCGGGGGACCGCUGAUCUCGUACAGUCAGGAGAAAUCAAGGAGAAAUGAUCAAAAUUCUGAAGGCAGUCGCCCAAAAGUGUUAACACCCUUUGCUUGAUUUCUGGAUCUGAGUCAGUUUUCUGACCUGGAACCCACUGACCGCAGGGGAGGCCAUGUUCCCAGAGGGAAGGAGCCACACCUCACAGUCAGUGUGCUUGGUAAGGAGUCCCCAGGCCUUGCCCGGGGGUCAUAGCCAUUUCCUUGGGUGAAUGUGUACUCAGCAUAUUAAUUUGCAAAGGUUUGCUGUAACAAAGAACCACAAACUAGAUGAUUUAAACCACAGAAAUGUAAGUCACCCCAAUCCAUGGGUGAGAAAAAAAAAUAAGCCACAGAAGUGUAUUGUCUCACAGUUCUGGUGGCCAGAAGUCCCGAAAUCAAGGUGUCUGGGUCAGUUCCUCUUGAGGACGGCAAAGGAGAAUCCGUGGUAGGGCCCUUUUCUGCUUACGGUGGCCAUUGCAAUCUUUAGUACUCCUUGGUUUGUGUAACAGAAGCAUCACCCUCAUCUCUGCCUUCAUCUUCGCAUUGUGUUAUCUUGGUGUGUGUAACUGUGUCCAAGUUUCCACUUUUUAUAAAUACACAGUCAUAUUGGCUUAACAGUCCACCCUACGCCAGUAUGAACUCACCUAAACUUUUUACAUCGGCAAUGACCCUGUUUCUAAAUAAGGUCAAAAUCUACGGUGCUGGGGUUAGGACUUUGACAUAUUAAUUUCGUGGAGGACCAAAAUUCAACCCCUAAUACUGGAAAAAAACUGAUAACAAGUAUUGUGAGGCGUGCUGGAUCCGGGGCCCAUGUCAACAUUGCCAUCUGAAGACCCCAAGCUUAAUCAUGGCCCCAGUUAGAAUGGAAGCAUGUGGGAGCCAGAUAACAAAUGGCUUUUACUGAGGAUGAUCCAAGCAGAAGUCUGAGAAACUCCCCUCCACUCUCAGCCAAGAGAGCAAAUAAAAUAAUACUGCAUUGUGGACACAGGGAUGCCGAAGUCAGCGCUGACUUUCAGGAUCUAAAUCCUGGGAAAACUAACUAUGGCUAUGAGUCUGUGGUCUGUCAUUGUGUGGCUGAUAAGCGAAGAAUGAUGUUUACACUUUUAAAGAACUGUAAAAACCAACAAACAAAGAAUAUAUAACGGAGACCAUAUAUGGUUCCCAGAACCUAAAAUAUGUACUCUUUUAUUUAUCUUUACAGAAAAAUAACUCUACUGACCUGACUUAAAUGAUUCAGGACCCCAAUAUAUUUCUGUUUAAUUGACCAUCUGCUCCCUGUAGAGAAAUGGUGGAUCCUGGAGGGUGACAGUGCACUGCUGUGGACCCUGCUAAAUAUUAACCCCAAUGGCUAGAGCAAGUAAAAACAGCGCAGUUACAUGCCAUUCUACCAUUGAUCGGUCAAAUAUAUUAGUUCCUGUUCCAUCAGAAAAGAGGAUACUGUCAGCAGACAAUAUCCAGCUAAUACCUCAUUCAGGAUUUUGCCUCAGCAGCAGGGAGCUGCCUCUCCUGGUGUAGCCCACAUCCAAUAAAUAAUCAAGCCAGGUUAUAAAGGCUUGGCCAUUUCAAGCCUGCACAGGACAACUCUGGCUGGCUGGCUAUGCUCCAGCUGGCCCCAAGGCUUGUUGAACUCGCAUUGUGCUUUGCCUUUUGUCUCUGAGCAAUCUGGUUUACCAUCUUCUCUCUGGCACUGGUAGUCGUUGAUCCGCAAUAAAUAUCUCCCACAUCACACUGGAGCUCAGUUUCUGCUUCCAAAAAAGCCAACUUAUAACGGCC
rnacentral:lncRNA from 1 species